GGGGAUUUAGCUCAGUGGUAGAGCGCUUGCCUAGCAAGCUCAAAGCCCUGAGUUCGGUCCUCAGCUCCG
rnacentral:tRNA from 1 species